rnacentral:rRNA from 1 species
AUUGAACGCUGGCGGAAUGCUUUACACAUGCAAGUCGAACGGUAGAGGGGGCAACCCCUCGAGAGUGGCGAACGGGUGAGUAAUAUAUCGGAACGUGCCCAGUCGAGGGGGAUAACGUAGCGAAAGUUACGCUAAUACCGCAUACGAUCUAAGGAUGAAAGCGGGGGAUCGCAAGACCUCGCGCGAUUGGAGCGGCCGAUAUCAGAUUAGGUAGUUGGUGGGGUAAAGGCUCACCAAGCCAACGAUCUGUAGCUGGUCUGAGAGGACGACCAGCCACACUGGAACUGAGAAACGGUCCAGACUCCUACGGGAGGCAGCAGUGGGGAAUUUUGGACAAUGGACGCAAGUCUGAUCCAGCCAUUCCGCGUGCAGGAUGAAGGCCCUCGGGUUGUAAACUGCUUUUGUACGGAACGAAAAGGUCUCUCUUAAUACGGGGGACCCAUGACGGUACCGUAAGAAUAAGCACCGGCUAACUACGUGCCAGCAGCCGCAGUAAAAC